rnacentral:rRNA from 1 species
AGUGUGCUGGAAUUCGGCUUAGAGUUUGAUCCUGGCUCAGAACGAACGCUGGCGGCGCGUAUUAAGCAUGCAAGUCGGACGGUAGGGGAGGCCUUCGGGUUUCCUUGAGAGUGGCGGACGGGUGAGUAACACGUAGGUGAUCUACCUCUGGAUGGGGGAUAGCCCAUGGAAACAUGGGGUAAUACCGCAUAGAGUCUACGUUCAUAAGGGAUGUAGAUUAAAGGCGCAAUUGUGCUGUCCGGAGAUGAGCCUGCGGUCCAUUAGUUAGUUGGCAGGGUAAGAGCCUACCAAGGCGAUGAUGGGUAGCCGGCCUGAGAGGGUGUACGGUCACACUGGGACUGAGACACGGCCCAGACUCCUACGGGAGGCAGCAGCUAAGAAUAUUCCGCAAUGGGCGCAAGCCUGACGGAGCGACGCCGCGUGGACGAUGAAGGCCGAGAGGUUGUAAAGUCCUUUUGCAGAUGAAGAAUAAGGCGAGGAGUGGAACGUCUUGCUGAUGACGUUAGUCUGCGAAUAAGCCCCGGCCAAUUACGUGCCAGCAGCCGCGGUAACACGUAAGGGGCGAGCGUUGUUCGGAUUUAUUGGGCGUAAAGGGCGUGUAGGCGGUUUGGUAAGCCUGAUGUUAAAGGCCUUGGCUCAACCAAGGUUUGGCGUUGGGAACUGCGAGACUAGAGUUCAGGAGGGGGAGCUGGAAUUCCAGGUGUAGGGGUGAAAUCUGUAGAUAUCUGGAAGAACACCGGUGGCGAAGGCGAGCUCCUAGCCAUGGACUGACGCUGAGGCGCGAAAGCGUGGGGAGCGAACAGGAUUAGAUACCCUGGUAGUCCACGCUGUAAACGAUGUGCACUAGGCGUUGGGUGUGCAAGACAUUCAGUGCCGUAGCUAACGCGAUAAGUGCACCGCCUGGGGAGUAUGCCCGCAAGGGUGAAACUCAAAGGAAUUGACGGGGGCCCGCACAAGCGGUGGAGCAUGUGGUUUAAUUCGAUGGUACGCGAGGAACCUUACCAGGGCUUGACAUGUACCUGGAUGUCCAAGAGAUUGGGCAGCCUCGUUUCGAGGCGGGUACACAGGUGCUGCAUGGCUGUCGUCAGCUCGUGUUGUGAGAUGUUGGGUUAAGUCCCGCAACGAGCGCAACC